rnacentral:rRNA from 1 species
AUGGACCGAUCGAUGGCAAUGUGGAGUGCAAGCCUAGCUGUCGGAGCCCCUUCCGUCACGAGGUCGUCACAGUCGAUCGAAUCGGACUCGCUGCUUGAGGAGCUACCAGAGCUUGCCAUGGUGGAAGGGUGGGGAGGGGGGAGGGAGAGGAGGAAUGGGAAUGGGAGUGGACUGGGCCAAAGUCUUUAUAUUCGCCCGGGAUAUGAUCCGGAUAUGAAAAAGUGCCGGACUAUCCGGACAUUUGGGCUGGAUUUGAGAGAUCCAGUAGGAUGUCAAUUUUGUGUGGAGCAUCUCAGUAUCCUCGCCGUACAUGUUUUGACGGACACGGGGGGAGCAGUGCGUUCCUUCCCGUACAUCUGCAAGUGCACCGCAUGCCGAUGGGAAAAGGUCGAAUCACUCUUGGUUGGUUGUCACACCGAGCCUACAACCAUGGACGGCGACAGCGGCGGGAUCGUGGCCCGCGACGGCCGGAGCAGGAGCGCCGGUUGCUGUGCAGGCGGAGGCGGAGCCGUCCCAGCCGUGGCCCGCGGCGGCGACUACACCAUCGGCGUGCACGGGAGAGCAUUCCCGCAGGAGGUGUGGCGCCGUGGAGAUCCAUGUCUCCGCCCGGAGAGUUGUCGUGUCCUCCUGGCUUACACGCCUGGGACGGACGCGCUGGAGAAAGAGGGUGUGCUGCUAAGCUACUGUCGGCUCAGUACUGCCGUGGGCGUGUGCUGCUUAGGUACUGCCGAGUGCCGACAGUGCGUGGGAGACGGACUCGUCAAGGGCGUACUGAAGGAGCUCCACGGCAAGCUGAUUGCCAUCGAGCUGCCCUCCGGUAGGCGGGAGUUGCAGGUCAAUGCAUGGUUGCGUGCCGCCGGCAACUCUGGAGAUCACUGA